rnacentral:lncRNA from 1 species
AGCGGGCCCUGCGGGCGAGGGGGCGGACCCCGAGCCGCGAGGGGCGCGGGGCGGGCGCGGGGUCCCGGGAGAGGGCGCUGGGCGCUUCGGGCCCAGAUCAUCUUUCUUGCUGACAAGUAUCAUCUAGGAAUCACUCUACCUCGCUGGCAAUUUUGAGAAAAUAGCCAGUUAUUUUUGUGCUGAACUUUCAUCUGGUUAAGGGUCAUUCCUUCAGUAGUCAACUAAUAUUUGCUCUCCUACAUCCUCACCCACCCCAUGGAAAGAAUAUAUGUCACUUCAUCAACAAAAGGCUUGGCCAUGUGACUUUCUUUAGCCAAUGGAAUGUCAGUAGAUGUAAUUUACCACAUCCUUGCAGAAGUUUUAGAUGUGCCUGCAUGAAUUGGCUUGGUCUCUUGAGCUUCUGAUCUCUACCAAAAGAAGCGCUUUCCUCAGGCAGUCCAGGACUGCAAAAACACAUACAGCCCAGCAAAGCUGUAGCCAACGCAAAGGCCUGUAAGCAUGAAAUAAAUCUUUA